rnacentral:misc_RNA from 1 species
GAUGAAGAACGCAGCGAAAUGCGAUAAGUAAUGUGAAUUGCAGAAUUCAGUGAAUCAUCGAAUCUUUGAACGCACAUUGCGCCCACUGGUAUUCCGGGGGGCAUGCCUGUUCGAGCGUCAUUAUAACCACUCAAGCUCUCGCUUGGUAUUGGGGUUCGCGGUUUCGCGGCCCCUAAAAUCAGUGGCGGUGCCUGUCGGCUCUACGCGUAGUAAUACUUCUCGCGAUUGAGUUCGAUAGGUCUACUUGCCAGUAACCCCCAAUUUUUACAGGUUGACCUCGGAUCAGGUAGGGAUACCCGCUGAACUUAAGCAUAUCAAUAAGCGGAGGA